rnacentral:sRNA from 1 species
AAACGUCUGAUAUCACUCCUCCAUGGUCGCGAGCUAAGAAGUACGCCAGCUCCACACGACGGUCGCGCGACGAAGUAUCAGAGACAUCGCAAUGACAACCACACUGAGUUUGGUGCCAUUACAUACUUUAUCUACAUCAACAAGCAAUGGGAUCCAAAUGACAACGGGUCCAUACAUAUUAGUGAGGGCGACGCUACCAACGGAAGCUCCUGCAAAGAGAAUAUUGAAGAAACCGGACAAUGUUUUAUCGAAAGAACCAGAGGCUUUGCGCUGCAAGAGAAGGACAGAUUCACAGGGUCUACAUAACAUUUUACCGAGACCACAACCUGCUGCCGUGGCAAGGCGGAAUGAAAGGGAAAGAAACAGAGUGAAAAUGGUCAAUCUAGGAUUUGAAACACUUCGGGAACAUGUUCCAAAUGGAAAGAAAAAUAAGAAGAUGAGCAAAGUUGACACAUUGAGAGCGGCAGUAGAAUAUAUCAAACAAUUGCAAACAGUGCUUCAAGAUGAGAAUAUGGACACAAAUUGUGCAUCAUCAUCCGCUGCCUUCAACACUAUUGACUUUUCGGCGUUUUCGCCAUCACAGAGCGAUUUCUCCCACACAAACUCCGGAGACCAGCUCUCACCGGCUCCCAGUAUGUCUUCCGACGCCUUCUCAGAGUCCAUGAGUUCCGAGGAAGAGGAACUUCCGGAUCUCGGUCCCUGGUUCUCUUGAAUUUAUCGGAGACUUUUUUUUUACUCUAGAUUUGUAUUUAAACCUGUAUUACCAUGACAACGGAGAUGUGUGCAAUGACAGAACCAAUCGGGAUCAUGUUCCUAUGGAAACAACCUGACGUUCUGCGAAACAAGAGCUGCCUGUUACUGUGUUCAAGGACUUACUGACUGACUCGCUGAUCUCUGAUCCAUUUUACUUAUAUACAAACUGUGUUCAUACUUAUUAACCAUUCCAAGUGGUCUAUUGUUACGCCCGCUGUGUUCUACUUACAAAGAGUCUUAACCGCUCCUCGCCACAAAGUGCUUCCCUGUUAUUUUCCAUGUUAUUUAUAAGAAUUUUUAAUCCAGUUUUUUUUGUAUGUUUUUUACUGCAAUUGUAUAUAUUGACACUGUAUAUGUUACACGAUAAUAUAGCAAAUUUUUGUACAUUGUUGAUGUUUUAAACUAUAAUAUGCAUUCCAUAUUUUUUGUCUUUUGACAUUUUUAUUAUGGCAAAUAAAUCUUAUGAAAUAUU